CCAAGCACGCGGACCCGGGAUUUGGCGCCGCGAUCUCGAGGCUUAGCCUGGAGCCGUGGAGCUGCGGAGCCUGUGGCGGGAGCGCGCGUGCGUGGUGGCCGGGCUGCGGCGCUUCGGGUGCGUGGUGUGCCGCUGGAUCGCCCAGGACCUCAGCAGCCUUGCUGGACUCCUGGACCAGCACGGCGUGCGCCUGGUGGGCGUAGGGCCCGAGGCCCUGGGUCUGCAGGAGUUCCUGGACGGCGACUACUUCAAGGGAGAGCUCUACCUGGAUGAGAGCAAGCAGCUUUACAAGGAGCUAGGCUUCAAGCGGUACAACAGCCUGAGCAUCCUCCCAGCAGCUCUGGGGAAGCCCGUGCGUGAUGUGGCUGCCAAGGCCAAGGCUGUUGGCAUCCAGGGGAACUUGUCUGGGGACCUGCUGCAGAGCGGAGGGCUGCUGGUGGCCAGCAAAGAAGUCUCCAGGCGACUACGUCCCCAAGGAGCACAUCCUGCAGGUCCUGGGCAUCUCUGCGGAGGUCUGUGCCAGCGACCCGCCUCAGUGUGCCAGAGAGGUGUGAGGGAGGCGAAGGCCCUGGCCUCCGAGGAUCUGGGUGGCGUCUGCUGCCCUAGGUGUGCUGGAAGUCCACUUGGAAGAACUGUUCCAGAGGUGCUGGGUCGGGAUGCCGAACCUCUCCUGAUCCGCCGGCAGCAACAAGCCAUUAAAACUGCAGUUCCUGACCACGCACUGCUUCGCAGGCUCCGAGCCCUGCAUCCUCCACAGCCCCCGCCUUGCUCACUGUUGGGCCCUC
rnacentral:sRNA from 1 species